rnacentral:rRNA from 1 species
CCUACGGGAGGCAGCAGUGAGGAAUAUUGGGCAAUGGACGAAAGUCUGACCCAGCCAAGUCGCGUGAAUGAUGACUGCCCUAUGGGUGGUAAGCUUCUUUUAUAUGGGAAUAAAAUGUUCCACGUGUGGGAUUUUGUAUGUACCAUAUGAAUAAGAAUAGGCUAACUCCGUGCCAGCAGCCGCGGUAAUACGGAGGAGCCGAGCGUUAUCCGGAUUGAUUGGGUUUAAAGGGAGCGUAGGUGGAUUGUUAAGUCAGUUGUGAAAGUUUGCGGCUCAACCGUAAAAUUGCAGUUGAAACUGGAAGUCGUGAGUACAGUAGAGGUGGGCGGAAUUCGUGGUGUAGCGGUGAAAUGCUUAGAUAUCACGAAGAACUCCGAUUGCGAAGGCAGCUCACUGGACUGCAACUGACACUGAGGCUCGAAAGUGUGGGUAUCAAACAGGAUUAGAUACCCUAGUAGUC